AUUCUUCAGCUCAGGCACACAAGUAGACUGCAUCUGAGUCCUUCACCUGCACUGGAGAUGGUAUGAUCUCGGGGCUCACCUCUUCUGUUUCCCUUUGCCAGUAUGAGUCAAGUCACACCAUUCUUCAUUUCACUCAAGAUUCAGGAAGACUGGCGUACUACAAUACAAUUUCUGAACGUCCUAAAGGAGUAAUAGCCUUAUCUAAUAUACAGUUGGGUGCUGUGGGUUAGUACUGGUCUAUCUCCUUCAGCAUGCUAAAAUCGGAAAUGUAUAGACUGAGGUACAACAACAAGGCAGCUGACAAGCCGUCCCACAAUAUUCUCAAGAAGUGUACAGAGAAAUAUGGGUGGACCAACAGAGUAAAGGGUCAGUGAUGCACUGGAUGGAUAUUUCCAGUAGAAGGACACAGAACACUUCUAUUAAUGUUUUCACACAUUAAACCAAGAAAUCCAAACUGAAGAGAGGUUUAGCUUCCAAAAGUACAGACUUUUCUCAUGCUCUUCCUCUGAGAACAAAUAGAGAAGUUGUGAGAAAGAAAAUAAAACAUCUAUAGGAAGACACUGGAGAACUACUAUGGCAGCAAGAACUUGUGUUAAAAACCCUAAAGGUAAGGAAAGCCCAUAGUCAGGAUCCAGACUUGGUGUUGUUUUUCCUUUGGAGGCAUUAGAGUGUACAACAGAGAAGCUGACGAGUUGGGAGAACACAGUGACUGAAGCCGGAGGUCAGAGAGCUAGCUAGCUACUGGUGGUCCCACAGAGCUGAGAGGUUCAGGGGAGAGAUUUGGAGUUUGGCUUCCAUUGAGCAGGAAUAGAAUAUCCCCACAAAAUAUCCCCAAAGUUCAGGUGGGAUUUUGAAGAGCUCUGCCCUAAGAGAAAGGGUGAAGUGGAAAGAGACCCAGUCUUUGAAAAGGAAUGAAGCCCAGAUUUCAGACAUCUUGAACCAUGACUGAAUUACAAUUACCUGCCCCUGGCCUAACUGUCCAUAAGAAGCAACACUAAAUCCUCUCCGAAGGAUGACAAGAUCAUCCCAAACCUCAAUUUAUCCUUAUAUUUCUUCAUACAUAACAUAUGGCUCUUAAUAAAAAGAGCCUCUAAGAAGCUUGACCAAAUAGGAAAAAAAACAGACCAAAUCGAAGAAUUCAACAUAUAGGAAAUCUAUACACGGCAUUAAUAAAGACAUGGAAUUUAAAAGUAACUGUGAUUAUUUUGUUCAAAAAAAUUACAUAUCCAUGUGCAGAAUUUGGGCAAGUAAGUAGAAAUAAAAAAUAAUCCAACAGAAAUUUUAGAACAGAGAAAUACACAGUGGGGAAUUAAGCUGAAAUCAGUAAAAAAAAAA